AUUGAACGCUGGCGGCAGGCCUAACACAUGCAAGUCGAACGAGUGGCGGACGGGUGAGUAAUGUCUGGGAAACAGCCCGAUGGAGGGGGAGAACUCCUGGAAAAGGUAGCUAUUACCGCAUAACACCGGAUGUGCCCAGAUGGGAUUAGCGAGUAGGGGGGGUAACGGCGCCCCUAGGCGACGAUCCCUAGCUGGUCUGAGAGGAUGACCAGACACACUGGAACUGAGACAAGGUCAAGACUCCUACGGGAGGCAGCAGUGGGGAAUAUUGCACAAUGGGCGCAAGCCUGAUGCAGCCAUGCCGCGUGUAUGAAGAAGGCCUUCGGGUUGUAAAGUACUUGCAGCGAGGAGGCGUUACUCGCAGAAGAAGCACCGGCUAACUCCGUGCCAGCAGCCGCGGUAAUUC
rnacentral:rRNA from 1 species